CUGGCGGCAGGCCGUAACACAUGCAAGUCGAACGGUAACAGGAAGAAGCUUGCUCUUUGCUGACGAGUGGCGGACGGGUGAGUAAUGUCUGGGAAACUGCCUGAUGGAGGGGGAUAACUACUGGAAACGGUAGCUAAUACCGCAUAACGUCGCAAGACCAAAGAGGGGGACCUUCGGGCCUCUUGCCAUCGGAUGUGCCCAGAUGGGAUUAGCUAGUAGGUGGGGUAACGGCUCACCUAGGCGACGAUCCCUAGCUGGUCUGAGAGGAUGACCAGCCACACUGGAACUGAGACACGGUCCAGACUCCUACGGGAGGCAGCAGUGGGGAAUAUUGCACAAUGGGCGCAAGCCUGAUGCAGCCAUGCCGCGUGUAUGAAGAAGGCCUUCGGGUUGUAAAGUACUUUCAGCGGGGAGGAAGGGAGUAAAGUUAAUACCUUUGCUCAUUGACGUUACCCGCAGAAGAAGCACCGGCUAACUCCGUGCCAGCCGCAGC
rnacentral:rRNA from 1 species